rnacentral:rRNA from 1 species
ACCACCGGGAUGUUCAUAACCCUUUGUUGUCCGACUCUGUUGCCUCCGGGGCGACCCUGCCUUCGGGCGGGGGCUCCGGGUGGACACUUCAAACUCUUGCGUAACUUUGCAGUCUGAGUAAACUUAAUUAAUAAAUUAAAACUUUUAACAACGGAUCUCUUGGUUCUGGCAUCGAUGAAGAACGCAGCGAAAUGCGAUAAGUAAUGUGAAUUGCAGAAUUCAGUGAAUCAUCGAAUCUUUGAACGCACAUUGCGCCCCCUGGUAUUCCGGGGGGCAUGCCUGUUCGAGCGUCAUUUCACCACUCAAGCCUCGCUUGGUAUUGGGCAACGCGGUCCGCCGCGUGCCUCAAAUCGACCGGCUGGGUCUUCUGUCCCCUAAGCGUUGUGGAAACUAUUCGCUAAAGGGUGUUCGGGAGGCUACGCCGUAAAACAACCCCAUUUCUAAGGUUGACCUCGGAUCAGGUAGGGAUACCCGCUGAACUUAAGCAUAUCAUA